rnacentral:snRNA from 1 species
AUGCUUCGGCAGCACGUAUACUAAAAUUGGAACAAUACAGAGAUUAGCAUGGCCCCUGCACAAGGAUGACAUGCAAAAUUCUUGAAGCAUUCCAUAUUUUU